AACUCCGCCACCUCUAUGAGAACCUAAAACAGCGUUCAAAAAAGAACAUUGCCAAAGAAAAUAGACUUCACUUCUAUGAAUUAACGAAAGAUGUCAAGAUAAAAGCAUCAGUGGAUAAGGUGAUACAAACAGCAAUAAUGAAAAAAGUACUGAAAUUGAAGUAUCUUGUGAUGUGAUAGAGAACUAUCAAGCUGCAACAAUUGAAGUAAUAGAUAUA